rnacentral:rRNA from 1 species
UUGAAGAGUUUGAUCAUGGCUCAGAUUGAACGCUGGCGGCAGGCCUAACACAUGCAAGUCGAACGGUAACAGGAUGUGCUUGCACAUCGCUGACGAGUGGCGGACGGGUGAGUAAUGCUUGGGAACUUGCCUUUGCGAGGGGGAUAACAGUUGGAAACGACUGCUAAUACCGCAUAAUGUCUUCGGACCAAACGGGGCUUCGGCUCCGGCGCAAAGAGAGGCCCAAGUGAGAUUAGCUAGUUGGUAAGGUAACGGCUUACCAAGGCGACGAUCUCUAGCUGUUCUGAGAGGAAGAUCAGCCACACUGGGACUGAGACACGGCCCAGACUCCUACGGGAGGCAGCAGUGGGGAAUAUUGGACAAUGGGGGCAACCCUGAUCCAGCCAUGCCGCGUGUGUGAAGAAGGCCCUAGGGUUGUAAAGCACUUUAAGCUGGGAAGAUGGUGCGUGUGAUUAAUACUCACAUGUAUAGACGGUACCAGCAGAAUAAGCACCGGCUAACUCCGUGCCAGCAGCCGCGGUAAUACGGAGG